rnacentral:rRNA from 1 species
UACGUAGGGUGCAAGCGUUGUCCGGAAUUAUUGGGCGUAGAGAGCUCGUAGGCGGUUUGUCGCGUCGGCUGUGAAAACCUAGGGCUCAACCCUGGGCCUGCAGCCGAUACGGGCAAGCUAGAGUUCGGUAGGGGAGACUGGAAUUCCUGGUGUAGCGGUGAAAUGCGCAGAUAUCAGGAGGAACACCGGUGGCGAAGGCGGGUCUCUGGGCCGAUACUGACGCUGAGGAGCGAAAGCGUGGGGAGCGAACAGG